GGGUGUGAAUGGUUACGGCGGUUG
rnacentral:siRNA from 1 species